GUAGGCAUCGGUGGAUUCUUCAGACUGUGCCGAGCCGACACACAGUUCUAGCGGGCGGUGGGGGGCCUGCCACGGCUGGAGUGGGGCCUGGCCCCGGGCCAAUAGUGUUCAAAUUGCUCAUUGUUGAGUUCCUAUUAACUACCAAGUUUUAAAGUAUUGGUAGGCGACUAACGCAGUUUCUUGCUGUUGUUGCUGACCCCUUGUGAGGCUGUGCAAGUUGUCAGUUAUUUUGAGAAGGGUAGCUUUGGCUAACUGAUAUCCAUUCAACUUCACGACCUGAUUUUGCAUUAUUGCUGUGCAACAGCAAUUCUGUGACAAAACUGGACGACAUGAAGGGGUGUUUCCACCCCCUCCCUCUUCUCUGGCGCGCCGCGUCUGCAGUGCCGCUUUCCCUCAGAUGAUCCCGGAAGUCACAUCUACGUAAGAACCUGAGCCAUGGGAAGCUCCCGAGAGGGGUAACAUCCAAGUCCCAUUGUUUUCAGGGAUGGAGGGGAGCGACGAUGAAAACUCAACAUUCCUUUCAGCUGAUGUUGGAUAGAUAGGGUUUUUCCUUUUCUUUUGUUAUAAAAACAUGGGGGAGAGUUAAUCCCCAAUCUUGUUAUGUUUUUAAUAUAUCCUUAGUUGUUUUCUUUUGUCUGUAUGUUUUUUUGUUUUUUUCCUUUUCAUGUUUCGGCUGAGCGGUGAUGUGGGAAAUAGCUGAACCUCGAGUGUGGAGCAAGGCUCCAUUUGUACAUUUUUUUUUUUUUUUUUUUUUUUUUUUAAAUGACUAUGUUAGGAAUACUCGGGACUCUAAGCCUUGAUGAUAUUUUAACCUUCUCGGGAAAGGGGUGAAGGGAGCAAGACGCCAAAAAAAACCUAAAGAGACAACCUGAGGUAGAGUUGAGGUGAUAUGAGGCAAGGUGAGGCUACUGGAGCUACCCUGGGUACCGUUUCUCGAAAGCGCUGUCGACCAGUUAGCAACUUGGGAAAUUGCAUUGCAGUCAAGUAAGUUGCUAGCUUCGUUGACAGUGUCCAGAAAUGAUACCCCUUCAGCCCAUGCGUCUGUGUUUACAAACCCCAAACAGGGCGCCGCCAUACGGCCCCAUUCCGCUUGCAGCAGCAUGUCUUCCACUUGUCCACUCAACACACACACUGCACCGCUUGUUUCAUUCUCUGCAUCCCAAUUGUACUUGUCGUCGUUCUGUUAAUAAAUCUCACCAAGCAGACAGUCAUGGAAACUCAACUUUCCCGAUUCUGAAGCUCUUCGAGCCAAGCACAGGUUUUUUUUUGUUUUGGUUUACAAAACAGUUUUCAAUAAAAGUUUUGUUCAGGGUUUAGGAAGGAUGUGUUUUUCAGUAUUUCAACGUUAGGCAAGUUAAAAACGGGCACCAGUUUGUGAAUGCGACGGUUACCAAAUGCUAAACUUGAAGUCCAGUCCACAAGCACACAGUUCCAUGUGCAUUGUUGGCCCUAUUUUUUGAGUCACACUAAAUAAAAGAUGUAUGUUCAACCUCAUCCUACAAACCACAGACAAUAUAAGGUCACUACUCACACUCUUAACAGUUAUUUACUGAGGCUAAGAGUCCCUAUAACAUGUAUUUGAACUGCUUUUGGAGGUCACGGAGUGUUGUUUGGUCGCACUUAACAUUAGUGUACACAGUUGCAGUGUACUUACCUCAUUAGAUAUAGUAGAAUUACUGGUGUAAUAACGUGUAAUACUGUUAAUUUGCACUUUAUCAUUUCAGCAUUAGGGUGUGUUGGGCCCCAGUCAAGCCCAUUGCCUCUCUGGGAGAAUUUAGCACUUUGGUAUAAGAAAAAAAAACACUUGUGUCAAAAUUAAAUUAUGGUAUGUAGAUACACAAAAUACGUUCAUGUAAGACUACAACACUAGUAUGUGUCAUUACACGUUAUUACACAAUGUAUCCCACUGUACUUAAAGAGGUAAGCACGCUGUUGCAGUGCAAAGUGUUGCCUGGUGUUUUUUAUUAUUAUUUUAACAAUUCUUAGAAAUGUUGCUUUUAUUUUUUAAUUUUGUUUUUUUACAUUUCUUUUUUGUUCGGUUUCACUUUGCUAGUAUAACAAAGUAUCUAUAAUCAUGUGCGUUGUGAUAUAGACGUAGAUGUAGAAUUGCAUUGUUUCCUUGUGGUAAGUGAUUGAGAUGCUGCCACGGAUUUGAGACACUGAUGAAUGGUGCUAUUUUGGACUUUAAUCUGCUCCUUGGUAAGAUAGCUGGGGGUUGGUUUCAUUUUAUAUUUUCACGUUCUGAGAAGGGGUGUUGGUUUUUUUGUGGUCUGGUCGCUUGUGACUUUUGGUCUGGAAUGACGUGGUUGUUCGAUUUUUUUCUGUUUGUUUUUUUCUGUGCGGCUUUCUCAUUGGAUUUAUGGAUGAAACAAACAAACAAACCAAAAAAGUUGAAAAUAGGCACAGCUGAUAAUAUUUUCAGAAGGCGGAGAUCCAAUCACUUUUUCGGAAGGUGGGAGCAAUCACAAAACUGCAAUCAUUUUAAAAAGCUGUUUUUGACCCUCGGCACAGAUAAAGACUUUGGACAUGAUUGUUUUCAAGGCUAGUUCCCGGCACGGGUGACUUGUUUUUCUAGAAAAA